rnacentral:rRNA from 1 species
UACGUAGGGUGCAAGCGUUAAUCGGAAUUACUGGGCGUAAAGCGUGCGCAGGCGGUUUUGUAAGACUGUCGUGAAAUCCCCGGGCUCAACCUGGGAAUGGCGAUGGUGACUGCAAGGCUAGAGUUUGGCAGAGGGGGGUAGAAUUCCACGUGUAGCAGUGAAAUGCGUAGAUAUGUGGAGGAACACCGAUGGCGAAGGCAGCCCCCUGGGUCAAAACUGACGCUCAUGCACGAAGGCCAGGGGAGCAAACGGG